GGGCGUUAAGUUGCAGGGUAUAGACCCGAAACCCGGUGAUCUAGCCAUGGGCAGGUUGAAGGUUGGGUAACACUAACUGGAGGACCGAACCGACUAAUGUUGAAAAAUUAGCGGAUGACCUGUGGCUGGGGGUGAAAGGCCAAUCAAACCGGGAGAUAGCUGGUUCUCCCCGAAAGCUAUUUAGGUAGCGCCUCGUGAAUUCAUCUCCGGGGGUAGAGCACUGUUUCGGCUAGGGGGCCAUCCCGGCUUACCAACCCGAUGCAAACUGCGAAUACCGGAGAAUGUUAUCACGGGAGACACACGGCGGGUGCUAACGUCCGUCGUGAAGAGGGAAACAACCCAGACCGCCAGCUAAGGUCCCAAAGUCAUGGUUAAGUGGGAAACGAUGUGGGAAGGCCCAGACAGCCAGGAUGUUGGCUUAGAAGCAGCCAUCAUUUAAAGAAAGCGUAAUAGCUCACUGGUCGAGUCGGCCUGCGCGGAAGAUGUAACGGGGCUAAACCAUGCACCGAAGCUGCGGCAGCGACACUGUGUGUUGUUGGGUAGGGGAGCGUUCUGUAAGCCUGCGAAGGUGGCCUGUGAGGGUUGCUGGAGGUAUCAGAAGUGCGAAUGCUGACAUAAGUAACGAUAAAGCGGGUGAAAAGCCCGCUCGCCGGAAGACCAAGGGUUCCUGUCCAACGUUAAUCGGGGCAGGGUGAGUCGACCCCUAAGGCGAGGCCGAAAGGCGUAGUCGAUGGGAAACGGGUUAAUAUUCCCGUACUUGGUGUUACUGCGAAGGGGGGACGGAGAAGGCUAUGUUGGCCGGGCGACGGUUGUCCCGGUUUAAGCGUGUAGGUGUGUGUUCCAGGUAAAUCCGGUUCACUUUAACACUGAGGCGUGACGACGAGGCACUACGGUGCUGAAGCAACAAAUGCCCUGCUUCCAGGAAAAGCCUCUAAGCAUCAGGUAACAUCAAAUCGUACCCCAAACCGACACAGGUGGUCAGGUAGAGAAUACCAAGGCGCUUGAGAGAACUCGGGUGAAGGAACUAGGCAAAAUGGUGCCGUAACUUCGGGAGAAGGCACGCUGACACGUAGGUGAAGUGAUUUACUCAUGGAGCUGAAGUCAGUCGAAGAUACCAGCUGGCUGCAACUGUUUAUUAAAAACACAGCACUGUGCAAACACGAAAGUGGACGUAUACGGUGUGACGCCUGCCCGGUGCCGGAAGGUUAAUUGAUGGGGUCAGCGCAAGCGAAGCUCCUGAUCGAAGCCCCGGUAAACGGCGGCCGUAACUAUAACGGUCCUAAGGUAGCGAAAUUCCUUGUCGGGUAAGUUCCGACCUGCACGAAUGGCGUAAUGAUGGCCAGGCUGUCUCCACCCGAGACUCAGUGAAAUUGAACUCGCUGUGAAGAUGCAGUGUACCCGCGGCAAGACGGAAAGACCCCGUGAACCUUUACUAUAGCUUGACACUGAACAUUGAGCCUUGAUGUGUAGGAUAGGUGGGAGGCUUUGAAGUGUGGACGCCAGUCUGCAUGGAGCCGACCUUGAAAUACCACCCUUUAAUGUUUGAUGUUCUAACGUGGACCCGUUACCCGGGUUGCGGACAGUGUCUGGUGGGUAGUUUGACUGGGGCGGUCUCCUCCUAAAGAGUAACGGAGGAGCACGAAGGUUGGCUAAUCCUGGUCGGACAUCAGGAGGUUAGUGCAAUGGCAUAAGCCAGCUUGACUGCGAGCGUGACGGCGCGAGCAGGUGCGAAAGCAGGUCAUAGUGAUCCGGUGGUUCUGAAUGGAAGGGCCAUCGCUCAACGGAUAAAAGGUACUCCGGGGAUAACAGGCUGAUACCGCCCAAGAGUUCAUAUCGACGGCGGUGUUUGGCACCUCGAUGUCGGCUCAUCACAUCCUGGGGCUGAAGUAGGUCCCAAGGGUAUGGCUGUUCGCCAUUUAAAGUGGUACGCGAGCUGGGUUUAGAACGUCGUGAGACAGUUCGGUCCCUAUCUGCCGUGGGCGCUGGAGAACUGAGGGGGGCUGCUCCUAGUACGAGAGGACCGGAGUGGACGCAUCACUGGUGUUCGGGUUGUCAUGCCAAUGGCACUGCCCGGUAGCUAAAUGCGGAAGAGAUAAGUGCUGAAAGCAUCUAAGCACGAAACUUGCCCCGAGAUGAGUUCUCCCUGAGACUUAGAGUCUCCUGAAGGAACGUUGAAGACGACGACGUUGAUAGGCCGGGUGUGUAAGCGCAGCGAUGCGUUGAGCUAACCGGUACUAAUGAACCGUGAGGCUUAACCUUACAACGCCGAAG
rnacentral:rRNA from 2 species